AACAAUCGAAUCAAAGAUGGUUCAGACAAGGGGAAUCUGACUAUUUAAUUAAAACAAAGAAUUGUGACGGUCCCUGUGGAUGUUGACGCAAUGUGAUUUAUGCCCAGUGCUCUAAAUGUUAAAGUGAAUAAAUUCAACCAAGCACGUGUAAACGACGGGAAUAACUAUGACUCUCUUAAGAUAUCCAAAUGCCUCACCAUCUAAUUAGUGAUGCACAUGAAUGGAUUAACUAGAUUCCCACUAUCCCUAUUUACUAUCUAGUGAAACCACAACCAAGGGAAUGGGCUUGGCAUAAUCAACAGGGAAAUAAUGCCUUGUUGAGAUUGAGUCUAGUCUGAAUUUGUGAAAUGAAUUGAGAGUUGUAGAAUAAGUGGGAAUCGUUUUCAGCACAAAUUAAAUACCACUACUUUUAACAUUAUUUUACUUAUAAUUUUGUGGGGCUGAGACAGGGCAGUUACCCUACUUUUGGCUUUAAGUCAUGUUUCGAUGGGUCGAUCUGGGCGAAAGACAUUGUCAGGUGGGGAUUUUGGAUGGGGAAACACAUCUAUUAAAAUAUAACAUAAAAUAUAAUUGUUGUAGAUAUAACAUUUGUAUUUGGGAGAUCCUAGUGCACAACCACCCUUAUUACCUUUCCCUCCUAAUUUGUAGUUACAUCCAAUCAUU
rnacentral:ncRNA from 1 species